GGCCGUCUAGCUCAGUUGGUUAGCGUGGUGCUAAUAACACGAGGCAUCAGCUCAGGUUUUGGGUUCGACCCCCGUGAUGGCCA